rnacentral:rRNA from 1 species
CGUAAGUUGGGCGUGAAAGCCCCGGGCUUAACCCGGGGAGGUCGUUCAAUACUGCGGGACUUGAGGGCCGCAGAGGGAGGCCGAAUUCCCGGUGUAGCGGUGAACUGCGUAGAUGUCGGGAGGAACACCAUUGGCGAAGUCGGCCUCCUGGGCUGUUUCUGACGCUGAAGGCGAAAGCUAGGGGAGCGAACGGGAUUAGAAACCCCGGUAGUCCUAGCCGUAAACGAUGGAUGCUGGGUGUGUGGGGUAUAGAUCCCCUCCGUGCCGAAGCUAACGCGUUAAGCAUCCCGCCUGGGGAUUACGGCCGCAAGGCUUAAACUCAAACGAAUUGACGGGGGCCCGCACAAGCAGCGGAGCGUGUGGUUUAAUUCGAUGCUACACGAAGAACCUUACGUGGGAUUGACAUGUAGGUAGUAGUGAAGCGAAAGCGGAACGACCCUUCGGGGAGCAUACACAGGUGCUGCAUGGCUGUCGUCAGUUCGUGCCGUGAGGUUUCGGGUUAAGUCCCGUUACGAACGCAACCCUUGCCCUUAGUUACAUGUGUCUAAGGGGACUGCCCGGGACAACUGGGAGCGAAGGUGGGGAUGACGUCAAGUCAGCAUGGCCUUUAUGCCCAGGGUUACACACACGCUACAAUGGCCGGUACAAUGGGUCGCCAAGCCGUGAGGCGGAGCCAAUCCCCCAAAGCCGGUCUAAGUUCGGAUUGUGGGCUGCAAAUCGCCCAUAUGAAGCUGGAGUUGCUAGUAACCGCGCGUCAGCAAUAGUGCGGUGUAUACGUUCCCGGGCCUUGUACACACCGCCCGUCACGUCAUGGAAGCAUGGCAACA